AACAUAAACCUUUUGUAAUUGCAAUCAGCGUCAGUAACAAAUUAAUAAUUACAACUUUCAACAACGGAUCUCUUGGUUCUGGCAUCGAUGAAGAACGCAGCGAAAUGCGAUAAGUAGUGUGAAUUGCAGAAUUCAGUGAAUCAUCGAAUCUUUGAACGCACAUUGCGCCCUUUGGUAUU
rnacentral:rRNA from 11 species